CCUACUGUUCCGUCAGUAGUAGCUCAUGGAUACAUGCAUUCGGAGUAAUCCUUUUGUGCGAAGCUAUCCAGUGAAAGAAGCCCUUUCGCAAGAAAAAGCCAAACCUGCGAGGUGGAGGCAAUGACCGUUAGCAUUGAAUAGUCGGG
rnacentral:ncRNA from 1 species